rnacentral:rRNA from 1 species
UAGGAGAGACCGGCGCACGGGUGCGUAACGCGUAUGCAAUCUACCUUUCACAAAGGGAUAGCCCAGAGAGAUUUGGAUUAAUACCUUAUAGUAUAGCGAGUUCGCAUGGAUUUGCUAUUAAAGAUUUAUCGGUGAAAGAUGAGCAUGCGUCCCAUUAGCUAGUUGGUAAGGUAACGGCUUACCAAGGCUACGAUGGGUAGGGGUCCUGAGAGGGAGAUCCCCCACACUGGUACUGAGACACGGACCAGACUCCUACGGGAGGCAGCAGUGAGGAAUAUUGGUCAAUGGGCGCAAGCCUGAACCAGCCAUGCCGCGUGCAGGAUGACGGUCCUAUGGAUUGUAAACUGCUUUUGUACAGGAAGAAACACUCGGACGUGUCCGAGCUUGACGGUACUGUAAGAAUAAGGAUCGGCUAACUCCGUGCCAGCAGCCGCGGUAAUACGGAGGAUCCAAGCGUUAUCCGGAAUCAUUGGGUUUAAAGGGUCCGUAGGCGGCUUAAUAAGUCAGUGGUG